ensembl:snoRNA
UGAUGAGAAGUCUCCGGAAUCGCUGUACCACGUUGAUGAUUCCCUUGAACCCUUGUAUACCUGAUGACUGCGGCUGCAUAGAAGCAGACACUAGUUUGUC